rnacentral:rRNA from 1 species
GGGCAGCACGAUGUAGCAAUACAUUGGUGGCGACCGGCGCACGGGUGAGUAACGCGUAUGCAACCUACCUAUCAGAGGGGAAUAACCCGGCAAAAGUCGGACUAAUACCGCAUAAAACAGGGGUUCCACAUGGAAAUAUUUGUUAAAGAAUUAUCGCUGAUAGAUGGGCAUGCGUUCCAUUAGAUAGUUGGUGAGGUAACGGCUCACCAAGUCCACGAUGGAUAGGGGUUCUGAGAGGAAGGUCCCCCACACUGGUACUGAGACACGGACCAGACUCCUACGGGAGGCAGCAGUGAGGAAUAUUGGUCAAUGGGCGAGAGCCUGAACCAGCCAAGUCGCGUGAAGGAUGAAGGAUCUAUGGUUUGUAAACUUCUUUUAUAUGGGAAUAAAGUGAGGAACGUGUUCCUUUUUGUAUGUACCAUAUGAAUAAGCAUCGGCUAACUCCGUGCCAGCAGCCGCGGUAAUACGGAGGAUGCGAGCGUUAUCCGGAUUUAUUGGGUUUAAAGGGUGCGUAGGUGGUUAAUUAAGUCAGCGGUGAAAGUUUGUGGCUCAACCAUAAAAUUACCGUUGAAACUGGUUGACUUGAGUAUAUUUGAGGUAGGCGGAAAGCGUGGUGUAGCGGUGAAAUGCAUAGAUAUCACGCAGAACUCCGAUUGCGAAGGCAGCUUACUAAACUAUAACUGACACUGAAGCACGAAAGCGUGGGGAUCAAACAGGAUUAGAUACCCUGGUAGUCCACGCAGUAAACGAUGAUUACUAGCUGUUUGCGAUACACAGUAAGCGGCACAGCGAAAGCGUUAAGUAAUCCACCUGGGGAGUACGCCGGCAACGGUGAAACUCAAAGGAAUUGACGGGGGCCCGCACAAGCGGAGGAACAUGUGGUUUAAU